AAUGAGAUGGCUGAGAAUAAAGCGGAAGAUUGUAGAUCUUUUUACGAAGGGUUCUUCUCUCAUGA
rnacentral:tRNA from 1 species